ACCCAGCUCAGCUGAUCGGUUGCCGCCACCGCCGCCGCCGCCGCCGCCGGAUUCCAGAAGCAAAGAACAAGAAGCUGGGAAGCGAGACAUGGACGUGAAUAUCGCUCCGCUCCGCGCCUGGGACGAUUUCUUCCCAGGAUCUGACCGCUUUGCCCGGCCGGACUUCAGGGACAUUUCCAAAUGGAACAACCGCGUGGUGAGCAACCUGCUCUAUUAUCAGACCAACUACCUGGUGGUGGCUGCCAUGAUGAUUUCCGUUGUGGGGUUCCUGAGCCCCUUCAACAUGAUCCUUGGAGGCAUCGUGGUGGUGCUGGUGUUCACAGGCUUUGUGUGGGCAGCCCACAAUAAAGACAUCCUCCGCCGGAUGAAGAAGCAGUACCCCACGGCGUUUGUCAUGGUGGUCAUGCUAGCCAGCUACUUCCUCAUAUCGAUGUUCGGGGGAGUCAUGGUCUUUGUGUUUGGCAUCACUUUUCCUUUGCUGUUGAUGUUUAUCCACGCAUCGCUGAGACUCCGGAACCUCAAGAACAAACUGGAGAAUAAAAUGGAGGGAAUCGGUUUGAAGAGGACGCCCAUGGGCAUUGUGCUGGAUGCCCUAGAACAGCAGGAAGAAACCAUCAGCAAGUUCACUGACUUCAUCAGUAAAGGGAAGGAGUAAAUAGAGCUGACCUGGUGAUAGGGUUGCAGCAGAAAUCCAGUUGCAGUUUGCCUUUGUCCAGACCUACUUUCCGUUUGUGUUUUUGAAACAGGAGGUGCAUGAACCGUCCAGCGAGCCACGGCAGCAUGCACGAAGAGGCCAGCGUGUUCCCGUUUCUGCUGUUACAGGGAAAAGGCCUCACACUGAAAGAAACCACCCUCCUAUUAUGUCUGAAGUUUCAAGCGGAAAGAGGACAAUAGUAGCUGAUCUUUUGAAAUCUGAAAAGCAUCUUUACGUGACCAAGCAAAAAGACUUUUAAAAAUGGAAAUGAAAAUGGGAGUGAUCAUCAGCUUCUGCAGUCCAUAAAAAUUUUAGAUAGCACUUGGUACAACUCUAUGUUUUUAUGGCUAGACAUUAGAAUUAAGAGAGCCUGAUUUUAUAUUUUCUGUUACUUUCUUCCUUUUACUUCCCAUGUAUUUAGAACUAGAUGAUACAACGUGUUUUCCUUGCCAAUUGAGUGAUUUCAUAGAUGAAUAGAAAAUAUUGAGGUUUCCCUACCAUGGGGGUUAGGAAGACAGUUGGAACAGUACUUGUUGCAGAGACCCUGUAUGUCCUAGAAUAAGAAGCAAUGCACAUGCCGCUCCUGCUUUUUCUUGCAUUUUAAUUUCUCAGCCGACCUGCAGCCUUCAUCUCUAGCAAAGUGAUAUCACCAUGACUUCACAUAUCUGGCCUAGAAUUUGUACCCAUAGCCAAAUACAAAGAAUAAAAUGUAUCAAAGGUUUUUUUUUUUUUUUUGGUGGGGGGGGGGCUUUAUUUACUGUACAUCUGUGUUAAAUGUCUGAGAAACUCAGUGACAGCCCUAUAAACAAUAAGAAUGUUCUCUAUGCAGCAAAAACCAUUCAGCUUAUGUUUCAAAUACUGUGAAUAAGACUUUAAUGCUUCAUUAAUUUCCAGCCAGAAUAAAACCAAAUACUAAUUGCAUCCUUUUUGAAACCUGACAUUGGGCUUAUACAUAUUUUAGACCCAUUUUCUACAUGGUGAAUUCUGUAGACUAAAUGCAGUAAAUUUGGAGGAAGUGGCAAUGUGAAUGAAAAAAAUAAACUCAUUAUAAUUGCUAACGUUGGUGGUCAAUUCUGGAAGGGUUACAAUAGAAAAAUCUAGCCUGGAAAUGCUAUAAGUUAUUUCCCUUUAAAAACAAGUUAAAUUUUUCGGUUAAGAUUUUUAGAGUGGGAGUAGGUAAAUAGGAAAAAAGCAUAAUGUGAACGGUUUCACCUGCCUCGACACAACCUACGUAAUGAGGCAGUAAAUUUGAAUUUGGAUCAUCUUUUCUUUUUUGCACAUCUAAGAAUAAAGUCCUCAUUAAGGACUAUUAAUGCUUUUUAAAAUUCCUGGCUUAUUUAUUCAUAUUGCUGCUGUAGAAGCAAACACAUACAGGCUUCCAGAACUUCAACUACUCAUAUACAGUAAGCUUUUAAACAUGUUCAGAGUGCUUCGUCCCAUCAGAGUUUAGCCUCUUAAAUGCAGACUAUGCUAGACACUUUAAAAGUUUUAUUUAUUGCAGCCUUUUUUAAACCAUCUGGCUUUGUAUGCCAGGAUACUUUAUAGAAAUAGUAAAGUCAGAGAAAACAAAAUUCUCAGCCUUGGGCUAGUCAAAAAUUAGUUACUUGAUUGAAAAGUAUAACAAUUUAAAUUUGGAUACUUUUGUACCCACUAAAUUAUCUUUAAGGAAUGGAAACACCAUACUUCUUUCCCAUGGCUUGUCCUUCCAGAUAAUGUAUUAUUUGUCCCCAUUAAGUCCAUUCUCUCCUAGCCUGUUUUUCCCUGUGAUGUACCACCUAUGAUUAUAUAGAAGGAGAAAGAAGGCAGGUGCCAAUUAUUUGCUCAGGAGACAAAGAGAGAAAAGGCAACAAAGUGUGAUUUCCUGAUUUCUAAGAUUCACGCCACUUCAGUACAAAAUUUCAGAUUCUAUGCACCUAGUGACUCAAACGGAUAAUUAUGGCUCUAGGUACUUGGAAGGAAUGGAGUUGUCUAGGGAUGGAGUUGUCUGGAAGACUUUUGUGGAGUCUCUCACGGUACUCUGUAGAAGGGUCAAUGAGAGCAAAAGCAUGAGGAUCUUUUAUCAAGAAUAGUACAUACACAACAUUGUAACUCAACUAUACUUCAAUGAAAUUUAAAAAACAAACAAAGGUGAAAGAAUAGUGUGAAUAAUUUGUGGCCAAUGAGACUAAGUUGAGAACAGGCAAUGGAGGGCCUUGAAUGAUAGGAUAAGGAAUUCACGUUUAAUCCUAUAGCAGUUUUCCUUAGAUUUUUGAGAAGAACAAGAUCAAGAACACUCACAGACUAAGCUUAAAAUAUGUGUGUGUGUGUGUGUGUGUGCGCACGUGUGUGUGUGUAUACACAUUUAGCUAAGACCAAAAGCUUCUCAAUAAAUACAUUAUUCAUACUUUCUUUUUUUU